GUUUCCUCUUUCAAUCAGUAGUUCAUUUUCCUCUUCAGCUUUUCUUUUUUCGAUACAAGCUGAAGACUCACGAUACAAGCAGAAGAACCAAAUCGAUGAUAAAUUGAAGUCAUGAUACAAGCUGAAGAACUGGUUCUCUUUUACGAUACCAGCUGAAGAGUCGAAGAACUGAGCUGAAGAGUUGAACUCACGAAGAACUGAUAUCUCAAGUUGUCUUCUCUAAAGAACGAUUCCUUGAAGAAAGAAAUGUAUACUGUUGGGCUGUUGACAUGAUGAUGAACUGAAGCUAAUUAGUCUCUCUGUCACACUUUUCUCUCAAGUGUCUCACUGAAGAACACGAUUUCAAACGGAUUUUGUUGGAAUUGGGUUUAUCAGAUCAGUUUUUAAAAUUUUUGUUCAAGUCUGAAAUUCUGCCCGGAUUCUCAUCCGCCGUUAGUGUUCAAGUUUCGUGGUGAAAGAUCGUUUCCCUGCUCGUCCUAUUCCA